rnacentral:snRNA from 1 species
CUCUUUGCGCAGUGGCAGUAUCGUAGCCAAUGAGGUUAAUCCGAGGCGCGUUUAUUGCUAAUUGAUAU